rfam:Globodera pallida, Lindley, WGS project CBXT01000000 data, contig: pathogens_Gpal_scaffold_62_contig_29
GGGUCGGUAGUUCAGUCGGUUAGAACACUGGUCCGGUCAACCAGAGACGCCGGUUCAAUUCCGGCCCGCCCCC